AAUCAACGCUGGCGGCGUGCCUAACACAUGCAAGUCGAACGCGAAAAUUCCUUCGGGGAUGAGUAGAGUGGCGUCCGGGUGAGUAACGCGUGGGUAAUCUGCCUUCGGGUGGGGAAGUAACCAGGGAACUUGGGCUAAUACCGCAUAAUGCAGCGGCUCGACAUCGAGACAGUUGUUAAAGCAGCAAUGCGCCUGAAGAGGAGCCUGCGUCUGAUUAGCAGUUGGUAAGGUAAUGGCUUACCAAGGCUACGAUCAGUAGCUGGGUCU
rnacentral:rRNA from 1 species